rnacentral:rRNA from 1 species
GAUGAACGCUGGCGGCGUGCCUAAUACAUGCCAGUCGAGCGAACAGACGAGGAGCUUGCUCCUCUGACGUUAGCGGCGGACGGGUGAGUAACACGUGGAUAACCUACCUAUAAGACUGGGAUAACUUCGGGAAACCGGAGCUAAUACCGGAUAACAUGUUGAACCGCAUGGUUCAACAGUGAAAGACGGUUUUGCUGUCACUUCUAGAUGGAUCCGCGCCGCAUUAGCUAGUUGGUAAGGUAACGGCUUACCAAGGCAACGAUGCGUAGCCGACCUGAGAGGGUGAUCGGCCACACUGGAACUGAGACACGGUCCAGACUCCUACGGGAGGCAGCAGUAGGGAAUCUUCCGCAAUGGGCGAAAGCCUGACGGAGCAACGCCGCGUGAGUGAAGAAGGUCUUCGGAUCGUAAAACUCUGUUAUUAGGGAAGAACAAAUGUGUAAGUAACUAUGCACGUCUUGACGGUACCUAAUCAGAAAGCCACGGCUAACUACGUG